UGGGGAAUAUUGGACAAUGGGCGCAAGCCUGAUCCAGCCAUGCCGCGUGAGUGAUCAAGGCCCUAGGGUUGUAAAGCUCUUUCACCGGUGAAGAUAAUGACGGUAACCGGAGAAGAAGCCCCGGCUAACUUCGUGCCAGCAGCCGCGGUAAUACGAAGGGGGCUAGCGUUGUUCGGAUUUACUGGGCGUAAAGCGCACGUAGGCGGACUUUUAAGUCAGGGGUGAAAUCCCGGGGCUCAACCCCGGAACUGCCUUUGAUACUGGAAGUCUUGAGUAUGGUAGAGGUGAGUGGAAUUCCGAGUGUAGAGGUGAAAUUCGUAGAUAUUCGGAGGAACACCAGUGGCGAAGGCGGCUCACUGGACCAUUACUGACGCUGAGGUGCGAAAGCGUGGGGAGCAAACAGG
rnacentral:rRNA from 1 species